rnacentral:rRNA from 1 species
UACGUAGGGUGCGAGCGUUGUCCGGAAUUAUUGGGCGUAAAGAGCUUGUAGGCGGUUUGUCGCGUCUGCUGUGAAAUCUCAAGGCUCAACCUUGAGCUUGCAGUGGGUACGGGCAGACUAGAGUGUGGUAGGGGAGACUGGAAUUCCUGGUGUAGCGGUGAAAUGCGCAGAUAUCAGGAGGAACACCGAUGGCGAAGGCAGGUCUCUGGACCACUACUGACGCUGAGAAGCGAAAGCGUGGGGAGCGAACAGG